ensembl:snRNA U1 U1 spliceosomal RNA
AUACUUACCUGGCAGAGGAGAUACCAUGAUCAGGCAGGUGGUUUCCCAGGGCCAGGCUCAUCCAUUGCACUCCGCCUUGCUGACCCCUGCAAUUUCCCCAAAUGUGGGACACUUGACUGCAUAGUUUGUGGUAGUGGGGGACUGCAUUCUCACUCUCCCCUU